UUUUCCUGAGCUCUCAACUGCUGAGUCAUUAAGGGGCUGUUUGGUUGUACGUAUUUACAACUGCAGUGCAGUUGCAAAUACGUGCAGCCAUAAUUUUUUUAUUUGGUUUAGUGUAGUUGAGGUCAACUACUGCAGUUCGAACUGCACAAGAAGGCCCAAAUGCUGCAGUUGGAACUACAUCCAAAUUGGUCGUAGUUCCAACUGCAGCAGUUGGUGAGGGAUAGGAUUACCCACAAAUUAAUAAUAAUAAAUAAAUAAAUAAUAUAUGUAUAUAGGUAAAUAAAAAUACUUAUAAAUAAACUCAUACUAAUAAAAUUUUUUAGACAAUACAAGCUUUGUGCAAAAAAUUAAUUUUUUUAAAUUUAUUUUAUUUAAAAUAUAAAUAUAGUUUUUUUUUUCUAAAUUUUUAUAGAAUGUGAUCGUGUAUGUUAAUUUAAUAAGUUUUAAUUAAUUAUAAUUAUUAAAUUUGAUAAAAAAAAAAUGAGAGAAUCGCUUAAAUUUUUAAAGUUUGAUUUACAUAUUAAAAUUAAAUAAAUUAAAAAUUUUAAAUGUGUCGAUUAAUAAGUUGAAGAAUUAUUGAAAAAUAUAAAAAUAUUAUAUAUAUCUACUUAUUUAUUUAUAAAUAGUAAAUUUAAAUAAUUAAUAAAUUUAUACAAUUAUUUUAUGUUUAGUGAAGGUAACCUCACCACUCUAUCUGAAGAGGUGACAAAAUUCAUAAAUACAACUAUCAGCUUCAUAUUACCAAACAGAAGAAAUGUAACUGCAGCAGUUGCAACUGCGUAAAACCAAACAGACUAGGUGUAGUUAUAACUGCAGCAUUUGCAACUGCAUGUAUUUCCAACUACACUGUUUCUGUAACUACAUCCAACCAAACGGCCCCUAAGAAGCGAUACAAUCAAAACAUAUGUACAUAAAUUAAAUACAUAUUUAGUAUGUCUCAAUAAUUCAUUGUACCUUUCAUAUUUGAUUAUUGAUCUUUGUCUCAAUAAUUAGAUAUAUCAAAUACUUCAUCAGAGAGAAUGGUCGAAAAUUUUCUGUUUCAAUAAUUCAUUGCACCUUUUAUGAACGUACGUUUUGUUUGAACGCAUAAAUAUUUUAUUCGAUAUAUAACUCUAUGUUUUACUUUCGAAGGGAUUCUCUAUUUUUGGCUCGACCCAUUUUUUUCCAAUAAGAUAAAUCCACAUUUAGCUAAAAUAUAUUAUCCUAUAAAUUGUAAAUGUCACAUUUUUUUCCAAUAAGAUAAAUCUACAUUUAGCUAAAAUAUAUUAUCCUAUAAAUUGUAAAUGUCAAGAGUUUUCAAGGAAAAAAAAUUAAGCUCUUAAUUUUUAGGUAAAAAAAAAAAUUCUUUAUAUCAAAAGAGUUAUUAUCGGAUAUCUAAUUCAAACAUUCAAAUAGUAACAAAAAUAUUAUUUGUUUAAAUAGAAAGUUUUAUUCUAUUUAGUCCAAUUUUCAGCCUAAUAAAAGAAUAUAUUGGCUCAUUUAAUCGGGUAAUUUGGUCAAUUGGGUUUUCAAGUUAGACACCCAAACUGACUACAAAAAUCAAAAAUUUAGAUCAGCCAACCUAAACAUUAUUGACCGAAUUAUGUCGGUUCGGCUCGGUAAUUCAGUUUUAACCAAAUAGUGCUCAGAUUUCAUAUUAAAUAGUAUGAUCUUAUUCAAUUUAUAUAACUCCAUUUGCAGGUCAUUAUCUCAAUCCCCAUGAUGAUUUAGGAUGCUUUCUUUUUAUGACCAUAUCAUGUUGAAUUUGGAUGGUGAAAUUGGUUUGUGGAAUCCGAGUUAGAUCAGAUAUGGAUGCGCGAUUUGGAUUGUUGAGCUAGAAUCAAGAGUGUCUAGUUAGGUGAACAUGUUAUUGGUCCCAUUGGUUUAUUAUUUUAUUCUUCGGAAAGGCCCAAUGGGCCAUUAGGUUUUAUAUCCCCCGCGCAAUUAAGUUUGGGCGUGUUAUUGCCCAAUUUAGUUUCUGUUUGGCCUAGCUUCUGCCGCGUCGAAACAAGCUUCUCGUUUGAGCAGACCAUUUGGAAGUGAAAUGUAUCAGUAUAUUGCUUUAUUGCUACAACAGAUUGGAAAAAGUGCAUUCAAAGGCCUAAUCUCAAAUGAUCUACUUCUCAUGAUUUGCGUGUUGAGUAGUUAUAGAUUUAUUUUUCUGAAGUUACCAUUCUAUUCGGAUAACAAAAUCACCAGUUUUAUUGAUUUAAAUAUUUUUGGAGAAUAUAUGGUUGUUUCAUAUUACUUAAUACAAUGUCAUAUAACAAACUGGUCUAACUGGUUCUUGAAGAUCAAUCUUUGUUUCAUUUUAUAUGGUAAUUAGCUCUCUAUGGAAUUUUGAUCCAGAAUCAAAUAGAUUCUGGGAGCCUAUUGAAGCACCCAAACUAGAGGAGAUGAGCAAACCUUUUUUUGCUUAUUAAUUAUUGUUAGAGUUAUACGACAAACUCGUUACAAGAAGAAGCGGCUUAUAGAUUAAUUCAAAAUUAGCACUAAUCUUCUUUUAGGUUAAUUCUCUGUGGAUCAACCACUUGGACUUAUUAGUGAUGUAUAGUGGUUAAAAGUGUUAGUUUUAUAUUUUAAAAUAUAUAAAAAAAUUUAAAAAUGCUUAUAAUAUUAAUUUUUUUAAUGCUGUAAAAUUAUGAUAAUAACCAUCACCGAAUAAACAAGUAAUUUGGAUAAAACGUGCGGUGUGACUCCGAGGCUCCUAGCACUAAAAACGACUUAUUCAGUACAAAAUUGUUUAGUAUCGUUAUAAGAAAAGAGUUUGAUUUUUUGUUUCUUUAAAAUAUCGUGAUAUUCAUAAUUUAGUAGAAUAACAUAUCUCAUUUAUAAAGUGAUUUAUUUUAUAAAAAAAAACACUUGAAUGCCAAAUAUAAAAUUCAAUUUUAGAAUUUGAUCACACUUCUCAUCUGUCAAAUGUGUAAACUUUUCAAGUAUAUUUUAUAUACCGAAUAAAAUAUUUAUAUAUUCAAAUAUAACCUUAAAAGAACAAAUGAAAAAUAUAUAAUUGGGGUCGCACGUUUUUUUACUGUUCAUUUAUCUUAUUGGAUAUUUGCAUGCUAAGUAGUCACUGCGAAGAGCUUGACCUGCUAAUUAAGCUUUUGACCCCUGCGCUCUAUGAAUUUGCAUUCACCUGAUUUUUUUUUAAAAAAAGUGCUCCGUAUUAAAAAGUAGGGUAAAAUCUAAGCAAGCACUGGGCAUUUCUUAAAAAAAGAAAUGAGGUUUGAAAUAUUUGUAGUUUUCUUUCAUUGUUUCUUUCUUUUUUUUUUCUCUAUUGUUCUUACUAAAUAUAUAGAUUAUAUUUUUUGUCAGAACAAAAUAAAUUAUUUUAUAGAUAAAAUAUAUUUUUUUUAUUAAUUACGAAUGCUAAGGUUUUAUAUGGAGCGAAAUGGAAAUCUAGCCUCUCAGACAAAAAAAAAAAAGAAAAAGAAAAAUCCUAAAUAUGUUAUAUGUGUGAUCUAAUUUAUUUCAAUAUGUAUAAUGAGUCACAGCUACGUACAAAAGUCUAGUUAGAUAUAUACUUUGAGAAGUACGGAUGUCUCUAAACUCUUUAGCUAUUUUUUAUGCUGGAGUUUCCAAAUCAAUGAUAGAUAUUGUUAGAUUGGAUUUAAAGAAUUUAAAAAGAUAAAUUUUGCAAUUAUUCGAUAUUACUUUUCUAGUAAUCUCAAAAUCAACAAUAUUAUUUUUUUGAUAUAUACUGCUUAUAUUUUAUAUCAAAAUUAACAAAAUCGAUCAUUAAUUUGAAAUCUUUCUCAUCAAAAAUUAUUUGAGAAUAUACAGAUUUUUAUUUCUAAAAGCAUCAUAGCUAGAUUCUAAUUUGAUUAGUUCAAAUAUAUAGUUGGCUAUGCCGAUCAAAGCGAUGCGGUUUUGUGUAUAGUAGUUGGAUUACAUCAUUUAUAUCUCAAACUAACCAAAUCAAUCUUCUAUAUAUAUAUAUAUAUAUAUAUAUAUAUAUAUAUAUAUAUAUUAAAAAGAAAUUAUAAUGAGAUAGGUAAAUUUUAGAGGCACAAUAUGAUUUGGGGACGUGAUCAUGUAGUGUCAUUCACAGCAUUGUAGACGUUUUUCUAUCAGGGCUCGGCUUACGAGAACUCGAAACACGUCGUGGACCCGGCGGAGUCGGAUCCGGCGCGCGAGUCGGAGUUGUAACCCGAGAGAGAUCGACUAGUUUACUACUUUACUUAUUACAAUGCCUCGUUAAUUAAUUAAUUAAUUAAUUACACAUCACCAAUCCCUUCGUGCCCUGUGUCGCGCUUGAGACAUAUGUUUCUCCAAUUACGCUAUUGACUUUCACGUACUUGCAUAACUAGAUUCUAAAUCAGCGAGUCAAUUUUGAUAUUUUAAAUAUAGCAAAAGCAUUCUUCAAAGUAAUUUAUUCUACUAUAAUAAGAUGCGUACUUAUUUAUAUUCUAUAACGAAACUAGAAUAUUACUAUUUAUCCUAAAAGGAACUAGUAAAAACUGUCACCUCAUCACCUUGGUAUAACUAAAUAUAUAGUUGUAAAAAUUAACUUUAUAAGUGAAUAAUUAUUUUUCUUAACUAUUAAUUUAUGACUAUUGCUACGUAAGAUUUAAUUUAUGUGUAACUGUGUAAAUAGUAAAAUACUAGGGACCAUUUGGUUAGAUGUAAUUAUAAAUACAGUGUAGUUGGAGAUGUAUAUAAUUGAAAAUGCUGCAGUUACAACUACAUGCAUCAUAUUUGAUUGAAUAUAGUAAAAUGCGCUGCAACUAUAAAUAAUUUGUUUGGUUACAUACAGUUGAGAAAUAAUUUUUAAAAUUUUAUUAUUUUAUAUAUACGAUGGUGAGAUUACCUCUAAUAUUAAAAAAAAUAUAUUUUUUGUUUAAAAAAUAUUUAAAGAGGUAAGAUUAUUUUUUGUCUAAAGUUAUUCCAACUGCUACUGUUGGAACUGCCGUCAAUUUGGAUAUAGUUCCAACUUCUGCAAUUAGACCUCCCUCUUUAGUUUCUACUGCAACAGUUAGAGUUAAGCAUAUCAAACCAAACAUCCAAUUUGUAUUUACAUACAAUUACAACUGCCGUAUAGUUGCAAUUAUAUAUAACCAAACGGUCUCUUAAUGAUUGAUACGUAAAUUUAGUUGUUUUAUAUUUUUAAUUAAAUUCAUUUUUUUAAAAAAAAAACAGAUGACACUCUUUAUUUUUCUUAAACAUUUUCUUUUGCUAUCUGAAAUGAAAAAUGAAGCGAGAAUAAAAUCAUUUAAUUAAUAAAAAUUGAAACUGACUGUAGAUUAAUUAGUGUAAUGAAGUAGACUUAAACUCAUUAAAAUCCUGAGCUAAAUGGCACUCCGGUGGACGGUAUCCACGUCCUGCCGGCGAUAAAUCGGCCGGCGCUAAACUCCUUGAUCGUCGAUGCCCGCGCAAUGAGAUGAUAACCCGGCCACCUGACCCGGCCGGAGAGCCUCGACCCCGGCCCCGUGUUCCGGAACUCGGCGUAGUACAGCGUGCUCAGCGCGAAGUUCCCGUUGAACGGCAACCACCCGGCCGGGUCGAUGAUCGAGUCGAUGUAGCUCCGCACGAAGAUCGUCCGCGAGUACUGCAUCCACGGCCGGCCGAGGUACGACCGCACCGCCCGCUCCACCGGCACGAACUCUGGCGCGGCACGGAUUGCCGACGACUGGACGACGAUCCCCGUGUUCUGGUUCGGGUCGCUGCGGCCCUGCGCGGUGAUCACGUUCGACUCGCCGGCCCUCGGCCGCCGCACGAAGAUGUUGCAGUUCUGGAAAACCGCAGCCGCGUUGCCGAAAAUGAAGUCGAUCGUCCCGUAGACGUCGCAUUCGCGGUAGAACUGACGCUGCGAGAAGACGCAGAGCGUGUCCUGGUAGCCCUCGAAGCUGCACCGGUAGAAAACGGAGCGGUCCGACGCCGAGAGCAGCGCGACGGCCUGCGAGCCCGGCCCGAACGUGUUUCGGAACGUGAUUCCGGUCGCCAUGAAUCCGUCGGCGAACACGCCUGAAUCAGUGAUGAUCGGCAAUUAUUACUAACUAACUAAGGUGAUUAAUUUAACUUAAAUCGGUGAUUUUAGCGUCGUACUAAAUGUUGGGGAGCUAAAGGUGGUGAAGCCAUUGGCGACGCUCCGGCUACCGGUGAUGACGGUCCUGCCGAUGCCGUCGCCGAUGAGGGUGAGGUUGCUCAAGCCGCUAACGACGUUUAGAUUUUCGCUGUACGCCCCGGCUUUCACGUAGAUUACGAACGUGCCGCUCCCGCGGCGACCGCUCUGCUUAGCGGCGGCGGCGGCGUUGAGCGCGUCCUUGAUCGUCCGGAAGUUUCCGGAGCCGUCCUGCGCGACUACGAGGUCGGGGCGCGACGAUGCGAGCUGCAGAAGGCGGCGUUGAUGCGAGAGCGUCAUCAUCCAGCCGGGGGUGGCGGGGGUGGCGGCGGUGGCGGGGGUUGCAUUGUUGACGGCGAGGAGAUUGCUGAUGAGGUCGGAGAGGUUGUAUUGGAUGACGGGGCGGAUGAGGGCGGGGGAGGCGCCGAGCUCGGCGAAGCCGUGGCGGCAGGUGUGGAGGUUGGUGAGGGCGGCGGAGAGCCAGGUCUGGGAGUCGAGGGGGGAGCAGGCGCGGGAGAGGGUGCGGUUCAGCUGGAGGGCGGCGUUGCUGUAGAGGCGCCAGCAGUCGAGCCAGGCGGUGCGCUCGGCGUCAGACUGGCACCGCGAGCCCAGGCGGCGAAGGUGGGACUGCGCGCGGUCGGCGAGGCCGAGCGUCAGGUGCAGGAAGGAGUGGUAGAGGUCUGAGGAAGAGUUUUGGAAGGGGGGGAAUCGGGCGAAGUAGCGGCGGCAGGGUGCGGGGUGCGGGGUGGCGGCGCACCAGCGGUCGAUGUCGGCAGCGGAGCAGGAGGUGGAGGAGAGGGAGGGGGAGAGGAGGAUGAGGAGAAAGAGGAGGAAGGGGAAGGGGAAGAGAUGGUGGGGCAUUGUUGGGGGAAGUGGGGGUGGAGGAAGUGGGGGUGAGCGGGGGUCGGGGGAGAACGGGAUCUUCGGGGCUUAAUUUAAAAAGCGGAGGGGAAGAGGCUGGCUUGUUGGAAACGAGUUUUUUAAUUAUAAUUUAGUAUGUUAUUGAUUUUUAUUUAAAUUUUUUAAAAAUAAAUUUAAUAAUACAAAAAAUUAUAAAAUAACUAGACUUAAGAUUUUAAAUCUUAAAUAGUAACUAUUUGUUUUUUUUUUUUUAAUAAAUGAGUGGAAAAGAGGGUGGUCAUAGGUCAACAUAUUACGUGAAGAAUUACCCGAAAUAGUUAGGUUAAGAUGCUAUCAGGUCAGGAUCCAUGAUCAGAUUCCUGUUUGAGGUUCCAACCUCGACGCCACUCUUUUUGUUUGACCUUCCUAAACCGGCACAAGAGAUGCUUUCCCCGUUUGGCCAUUUAACAUGCACCGGAGCAAAAAAGUUAAAGAAAAUUAGUGCAAUUGUAGAGGGGCAAGUUAUAUAGUCAAAAUGAAACUUCACAUCUUUAAAUAUCGUUAUUUCUCUGUUUGCUAGGUAUUAUGCCCAUGCUUCAAUAGAGUUCAUAUAAAAGUGAUGUUUUUUUUUUUUUUUUUUUGAGAGAGAGAGAGAAUAUAAAAGUGAUGGUUGUAUUGGAAAAAUUACUUGGCUCUGAUCUAACAGUUAUUGCCUAAUUGGUCGAGCAAUUUGGUUGACCCGUAGCCCACAGCUUAGUGCGAGUGCUGGUCAUUUGGAUUUUUCACCGACCGAGUCAAUUUAAAAUCCAACAUGAAAUUGUUAAAAAACCAAAAUAAUUAAGUGCGUGAGUGCAUAAGUCAACAGAUAAAGAAAAAUGCUAUUUGUAUAUCCAUAUAAAUGUAUAUCUUAUAUCUUUGGAUACUUAACUUCUUUUAAAUUUUUAAUAUUAAAAAAAACUGGUAAGUAAAUCCUAAUCUCUCAAUGUAAGAAUGUAAAUCUUACACCUAGCUUCAAGACGUGCACAUAGUACUGAUCAUUGAGAAAUGUGGUAGAGCAAGAAGAGAUCUGAACCGAUGUAGAAGGGAGUAGAUAUUGUCAACACAAUAAAUACAGUAAUAACUUUAAUCAUGAAUCAUGAUCUAAAAAUGAGAAAUACAAUAUAUACACUCCAUUAUAGAAUGUAAAUUUUACACUACAAUUCUAAAAUUUUAAAAACUUAUUAAAACUUUGAAUAUUAAAAAAGUUGAUAGAAAAAAUAAAUAGAUUUUAACCUUAACGUUUGGUUGGGGGUUAAGGGGUGAAAUAAUCCCUUAACCCCCAUUUUAUUCCCAAACACUUCUAAAAAUGGAUGGGAUUAGCUACCCAGCUAACCCCACCUCAAAUAGGUUAUCCCAGAUUAGCUUACCCCACCUAACCCCACCAAACUCCAACCAAACACUAUUUUCUAUUCAUAAUAACCCACUAUCCUUUUUAUCCCACCUACUCCAACCAAAUAUUAUUUUUCACUAUCCUGAAUUAACUCCAACCCCCAACCAAAUACAAAAAUACUCUAACCCCACCUAGUUGUACAGAUAACAUUGCUCAGGAAAAAUUCAUUUCAUGGACCCAGCCUAUAGACCUAGCCUAUAGACCAAGCAAGAAACAGCCAUUGUUCUAUGUCAAAGAAAUAACAAUCCAUAUAAGAAAGUAGUACCAUUUCAUUUCCCCUCAUUUCCCACAUGAACAUACAUGAAAUGGGCAAUCAGUUUCAGAGUGAUUAGCGCUUCGCAACUUUCCUCGUCUCGUCAAUAAAAUAAUUCUAUGAAACAUUGGAGACCAUCCCUUUCAGAAAUACUCAUUUCCAUGUUCGAAUACGUAGACGUUAUUAACCCAUAACUGAUUCAAAAUAAAAAUUUCUUGCAAUAGUGAAAGCAAGAGUUUAGGCCUGGUUUGGCCUCAUGUUUAUUUUUGGGUCAAUUUCAUUUGUGCCCCUCUAAACUUCAAAAAUAUCAUAAAUGCCUCUGUAAAUUUGAUUAUAUCACAAUUAUCCCUACAAAUACUUAUUAUUUUUUCAAAUAUACCCUUACCCUUACUAUUCAUCUCUUUAUAAAAUGAUAAAAUAUUUAGAUUAUCAUAAAUAUAGUCAAAAUGUCCAUUUUGCCCUUAACUUUUAAAAUUUUUUACAAAAGUAUUUUAGCAUGAUAUAUUUAUUUUAAAAUAUUAAAAUAAACAGUAAAAUAUAUCAUUUUACUGUUGUGUGGUUUAUAAAUUAAGAUAUUUUAUAUUAUUUAUUUUAAAAUUCGAGAUGCCAAAGCACAGAAAUUUGUGCUAGUUCAAAUAACUUAAUUCACAUCAUGCAUAUAUGUUUAAGUUAUAUUUUGAAUAAAUUGUUUAACCUUAAUUUAAGGAGUCAAUUGAUACUUUAAACAAUUUUUUGCUAAAUUUUUUUCAAUUGAUUUUUUUAUUUUUUAGCUUAACUUGUCAGGAUUGUAUAUUUUUUUUUAAUUGACAAAAAACUUAUCUCUAAAUGUAGGUUAUUUAUAAAUUUAAAAGAGUGUUUAUAAAAGUAUAAAUGAUUUUAUAGUCAAUUAAAUAUUUUAAGAUGGUAAUGACAAUAAGGGCAAAGUUGGAAUUUUGUUUGUUGUUUAUUCAAAAUUGAUAAUAAAUUAGUGUAAAGAUUAUUUUUGAAAGUUUCUCCCUUUAAAAAGGUUAUUCAUGAUAUUUCAAUUUUUAUAGGGGCAUUCAUGAUAUUAGACUUAUUUGAAAGGGUAGUGAUAAAAUUUUCCCUUUAUUUUUUAUUUUUUUAAAUAAAAUUUUACGUAGAAGUGAAUGGUGGACUGAUUACAACCAUUUCAUUUAAGUGUUUACUUCACAAUAAAAAACAAAAAUUAAAAACUUUUUUUACUCUCAAAAUUUUUUUAGACAAGUUAUCAUCUUUUACUUUAACUAAAUGUAUUAUAAUAGUCAACAAAAAAAAAUCCUUUCCUCCAACCAAUCAAACUAAUAUAAAAUUAAAAUAAAAAACAAACACAUUAAACAAGGUCUUAAUUAUUGCUUCUGAAAAUAACAGCUUUCACCUAAUGAGGUAGUUGUAGGAAGAUAACUUGAAUGCCAAAUAUAAUAUGCUAUUCUAAACAUUUAAUCAUACUUUUUAUUUACCAAAUAUAAAAGUUUUUAGAGUAAAUCAAUGAGAUAUGCUAGACAAAAAUAUUAUGCAUCCACAAAGGCCUAAUGAACUAACCAAUUUCUACACAAAGACAAAAGACGACGCUUACAUGAAAGAAAAUUUGGAAAAAAAAACAAGGGGAAAGAAAAGGAAACCAUAAGAAAAGUGCCUCAUCCAUGCUACUCAAAACAGGUUGUUCCAGUCGAAGUAAAACAGAAGGAAUGGGUGAAUCCUACAAGUUUAAUUGUAGCAAACCCUAAAGAAAGCGAAAGCCUUGCCAAGCCACACAAUCAUCAUGUGCAUAUAUGUCCCCGAGUUCUACGACAAGGUUUAUCAUGCCUUUACAAAUUACAUAAAUUUCUUUUAAACUAAGCACAAUUAACAAAGUGAGAGCCAAUUGAAGUGUCAUAUGCAUCAGGAUCAACCACAGAUAUCUAAUACAAUCUUAGCAACCCAACAAUAUAAAAUAAAUUUGGUGUCAUGAUGGGAGGAAGGGACUCUACAAUUCGCAAGCAAUUCAUCCUUUCAUCCUAAGGUGUUUUGGCAGGUAAAAUCACUUGCAAGUGACCUCCCAAAAAGAUCGCUUGGUAGUGAGUUCAAUCUUGACAUAUCUCAGAUAUGAAGGGCCAAAAAAAAACCUAAAUAUUUUGGGUGACGUUAUUAAUAGAGCAGAUAUUGCUGCGGACAAAAGGAUGCAUUAAACCCAGUCGCUCUUUACUGAAUUAAACUAGAUUCAAUGGAUUUCGUCUGCCAAUUUUAAAUGUGGCUUUGUUGAUAUCAUCACCCAACUAAAGAAGGCCUUGAAUUAUAUGCUUCCGCUAGAAGCCAGAAAACCCAACUAACGAUGAAUAUGACUUAUUUUCAUCAUCCAAUGCAGCCCUUCUCUGGGCAUCCUUCCUUUUGUCUUUGGCAUUAGUAUUCUGAUAGGCACUUGUAUCCAAACCGGCCAUCUCGCAAAGCUGCAACCUUUUACUCCUUGCUUCCUCCACAUCUCCAUCCCAGCAGGUAUCGGAAAUAACUUCCAGUGCUCUUUCCAUGUUAUCUUCUGGGAUGAGGUUACCGUUUUGCAGCAGGACGAGGUAUACCUGAUCGGCAGCAGCCUUCCGAAUCUGAACAGGGGGCAAAAAAAAGGAACUUCUAUAAUACAAGACCAACUUAUGCCAAUUACUUAAAUUACUCUCCAGCUUAAGGGUAUUUAUGCCGGGUACCGUACUUUUGAAAAUGCAUAAAUAAAAAUUCAGAUUUUACAGGGACACGUGUAAAUAGACAAUUUUGUGGGGAGUUAUACGUAUUGGACCCAAAUGAUAUAGUGGCAUCAAUCAGUGAAGAGGAGAAUUAAAAGGGAAAAAGCAGUAUACAGAAUUCUUGGCAAGCAAGCCUGACCCUUUUUCCGUUAGCAUACACAUCAUGUAUUAUUACCUUCGGGUACCGAUGGCCCAGAAAAGAUAGAAGUUGAGAGAAGGCCCUGGUGUUGGUUGCCUCUGUAUAAGAAGAAACAUAUCCAAGAAUAGAAAGGCCUGAACACAACUUUGUAAAGUCCUUUGAUGCCUUCAACUCAACUGUGAGAGAAUCCAAAAUUUCCGUGCAGAAAUCCUGAGUAUAUCCCAGUUUAUGAUGAUUAAAUGUAAAGGGGCAACCAAUGAUGCUCAAAAGCAAGGUUUUAAGUGCCCGUCGGCACGGGCCGUAUCCACCGUGCCGUACCAUGCCAAUAAGAUACCGGCACGAUACAGACCUCGUGCCGAUGGCACAGCUCAAAACCCUCUAUUCUUUAAAUCAGUAAGUAAUUUCCUCAAUAAAGUUCAAAAGAUAUGAUAAAAAGACAUAAUAAAUAGUUAGAAUAUUUUGUUGCUAAAGAAAAUAAAUAUUUCAUGCUAUCAUAUGUCGGCACAUAAGAAUAUUUUUGACCGGCACGCAUCGACACGGCUCGGCACGACCCCGUGCCACGGCACUUAAAUCCUUGCUCAAAAGUCCCAACAACAAUUGUAACUUGUAAUCAAGUGACAUUUGUUAAAUAUUUACUAGGAGUAUUUCUGAUACAAAUAACCCAAAAAAGAAAGUGCAAGUUGCUGUUCUGUAUAGUUGGAGUAAUCAAUAUUGGUUAUCCUCGUUUAAAAAAGGACAUAGUAUACUGUCUCUUCAUUUGCUUCUUCAGUUUGAUACAGUGUUCAUGCUGCCUCAAUCCUAUAUACAUGAAUAUCAUCCAAGCAUAGACAUAGGGAUUAAAAAAAAAUAAAAUAAAAUAAAGGCCAUAUGCUAACAACAUAAUUAAUACGACAGUUAAAACAGCAAAGGAAUGAUAUUUUGGAAAGUUCCUUCCAAAUAUAUAGCCACAUCAUGUGCUAUUCAUAUGAUAGAAACAUACUUUUCGCAUACUGCCAAUUAUGAUAUAAACUUCGAGAUGCUAAGCCAGUAGAUUGCAAGAAAUACUACAGAUGGAAUCUAAGUUUAUAAGCAAGAAGUGUAGCCUGCUUAGAAAAUCUCCAAAUUGUGAUUUAAAAAACAAUUAUUUUGCUUAAAUGAAGAGGUUUAGGAGUUGUAAUAGAAAGCAUGCUGCACCGGCUGUGUUUUCCAAGUUAUGCACUUAUUUUGCCCCACAAUUGGAUGAAAGAUUGUACAUCCUUCUUUUUUCAUAUUAACAUUAGUCAUACAUAUAUACAGUAGACUUGUAUGCCUUGACAUAAUGCAGAACAAAUAGAUAUGAUAAAAUCUUGAACUGAGCUCAAAUAGAAUAUAAACUGACCUGCAUGUUCAAUAAGAACUUUUUGCUAAGGAGAACCUCUAUUGUCUGCAAAAAAGGAUAUACCUGUUAGACUUUCAUGAGGUAGGAAUAGAUGAUAACUAGUCAGGUAAUGCUAAAAGUGUGACAGUACACUUGAAAAACUCUUUAGUAGGCUAGUUUCAUGGCGGACAAACCCACAGCAAUCCGCAUCUUAGAAGGAUGAAAGAAAAGUCAUACAAGAAAAAAUCUAAGUACUUGAAAGUUGGGAGGUUAUUUGAGUAGAUUGCUCAGAUGUUAACCAAAAUUACCUCAGGUAAACUCAAAUAAGUAACACAGACAAAACAUUAUAUAUUAGCUGCUGAAUAAGGUGAAACAAAGUAGCGUAAUAUACCAUGUGGUAAUCUAUAAUAGGAAUCUGUGUUUACAGAACAAAUAAAUGUGCAUUUAAUACCUUGAAUGCUGGUGUAAUUACUCGAUCACAUUUCUGAUACCGUCUAAGAACCCACAGAAGAUCAGCACUCAAAACAUACUCCCUCGUUCUCCUCUCCUCACCUGCAUCACCUUCUGAACAUUGAAGAUACUCUAAUAAAGCUGCUAGUGAUGCCUUCCGCAGAGAUUCUUGCAAUCCACCAACAGAUAUUACUAGCCCAGAAAGCACAGAUUUGCUAUAACAGUCGAUUCGAAGAAGCUGCACGAAAACUGGAUAAGACACAGCAGGGACCUGCAAAAGCAAAGCAACAACUAGUUAGAAACAAUUAAGAAAAUAUAAUCUAUAUACAGAUUUGAGACAAAACAUAACCAGCUUCGUAAUAGGUUAAAGAAGCUACACUAGCACCAUUGAAAGAAGAAUUCAACUAUAGCAGCAAGUCAACCAAAAGAAAUUAAAUAAAGCAAGACAGUGCCGCCUCUGAUGAAUUAAUUUCCUUGCAAUGUGUUGCAACAUCAAAAUUGAAACAAAAAUUGAAAUCAAUUUGACGAGUGUGUAGGUCAUUGUGCUUGGACUUCGGACUCUUCAUAGGGUGCUUGACUUCAGACUCUUGGCAUGGUUGAUUUUCGAUAUAUAAGAUGAAUCUUAUAUAGACCAUAAUGCAGUAAUUGACUUAAUCAGGUAGCUAGAUGGUGCUUUCAACUCGUGAUAGUUUUGAUGCAAUGUUGAGUAACUGAUUUUGUCAAAGAUCCGACCAAUUAAAAUAACACUCAAAUCGAUAUUCUGCAAAUCAUAAAAUUUGUAAGAAACAGAUAAGCAAGAUAACAAAAAAAAAUAGAAAUCAUAAUCAAAGAUAUUUGAUUCCUAAAUGCCAAAGGAAAAAAAUAGUGGAGCAUGACACUUACUCCCCACUUUAGAUCUGUACUGCUGGGAAUGAUACUUUCCAGCACCUCCCUAUGAGGUAUGAAUGAAAUAAUAUCUUUCUGUCUGUACAGAAUCCUUUGUAGAGUCUUUGCAGCUAUAUCCCUUAUUUUAUCUAUUUUCUCAACAGCUUGCUUUGCAAGGCCUGAUAUUAGCUUCUUGGCAAUAUCUGCAUCAAAUAGUUGGUCUUCCCAAUCAGCUGCAUCUAGCUCAUGAGUCUGUGGCUUCAUGGAGGAAGAAUCUCGCUUGCAAAGGAUGUAAGUGCACCUCUCUAGGGCAUCCAUUGCUGCUUCACGCACCCAAGAACCCACAUCUCCUCUGUUGUCCACUGCAUAGUCAUCGAGUGCUUUAAACAAAGUCUCCAUGAUUUUAUUUUUAAUAAGCAAAUAAAAAGAUCUUUCAUCGCCAAAAUUCUGUUCAUUGGAAGUAUUGGUUAAUGUUUCACAAACAGAAAUUAGCCCCUUAACAGCAUUUACACGUGCUUCAGCAUCUGGAUCAUCAGGCUUACUCUGGAAAUAAAAGAAUAAAAGAGUAGCAAGUUACAAAAUGCAUGAAAUGUUUCAGCGGCAUAAUAUAAUACAUUUCACUGACAAGAUAAUACCUCCAGUGUGCACGAGCUACAGAGCUUUGUUAUUAGAACACUCCAUCUGACAACCAAGAACUGAUAUGGUAAAAUUCCAAGAGCCAGUGCAGCGCCCCUUCUAGAAGCAACAUUAGAGUCAUCAAGGAGUUCCAGGUACUUUGUGACAAUCUCAUUAGCAACUUUAUCACCAGAAGCAACCAGAUAUGUUGGAAUAAAGUGCUUUAAUGCAUCAACAGCAGCACACUAGAUAAAGUUAACCAGAAGGUGUUCAGGUCAACAUCCAAAACAAAAUUAUAAGACUACAAAAAUAACACAAUGUAAUUAAAAAAGAAAGGUCAGAGUUACGAGGACUGAUAGCUAGUUGAAAAUUUCGGAGAGUACUAGACAGGAAGUUUUCAACAAGAGAUUACCUGUAUUUGAGCAUUAGGGUGCUUCAAAUUCUCAUUUAGGGUAUCUAGUAAACUCCUUUUAGUCUUCUCAUUCAAAGAUAUUGCAGAAAGAGAGAUACACUCAAUGAAUCGAGAAACAGAAGAUCGCAUGAUUUCUCCCCCCUUGCCGCGGUAGAGUCGUGCUUUUUCAAUGGCAGGAACAAUACCUGAUAAAGCUUUUUGCUUGUCUGUGGAUCAGGAAGUAGAUAUGGGUCAUUUCAAAGAGACAAGUAGCAUGGAGUGGUGAUGCUCAUGAGGAAUUUGAUUUUAUGUAGGAGCAGAUAUAAAUUAGAAAAAAAACAGUUUAUUUUUGCUCACAAAGAUAUCCUGCAAAACCUUUGAAAAAGAAGUUGCAAGCUGUGAUCUAAACAACUAGAAAAGAAAAGAAUAAAAGGAAGAACCAAAACUGUAGUUUAAAUGGUAACAAAUUGCUUUGGAAGAAUUGUUGCUAAAUAAGCUCCCCGAUUAGUCUUUUAGCAACUUACACAGCAUGUAUGAUCAUGCAAUGGCCAUCCGUAAAUCACAGAUUUCGGUACAUCUUUUGAUGAAAAUUUAAACAGAAUCACUGUAUACAUGUAUCUAAUAUGUGAACAAACAUAUGUAUAGGAAGAAUGUGUCUGGUACGCCCAGUACCGCUAAGUAUAUCAAAUAUACAUUACAUUGGUAGAAGAACUCCAUAGACCAUACAACGACAGGAGUCUGGUUGCUCUUAUUAGUUUCGACAUCCAACUUUCUUUUUUAUUAGAUAUGCAUUUUUUGACCGGUACAGACAACAAAAAGUUUAAAUCUCUACAAUGAGUAGAAGAUUAUUAAUCAUAAUACACAAUUUUUUAACUCUUUUGGCUCUACAACAUUUGAAUCAGAAGAGAGACAAUGUUUAAAACGGUGUGAUUUCAAUUUGAUGAGAGAAGGUAAGAAUAAAAAGAAGACCUUUUUAAUCUUCAGAUAAAAAAACAUUAUAGUGGAGCUCAAACUAGUUAGAAUACAAACCACUAGGAAAAAUAAAACCAAGCCGAUGCAAAGUUAAAACAAUCUCUCCAAUAGCAAGCGUUGCACCAUGGCGUGUGCAAAGAUCUGAUGAUAAUGUGCAGGGGAUCAAUUUCUCAAGGACAUAUCCACCAAAAUAUGCACUAUCAUAUUUUGCAAGAGCAGAGAGGGCUUCUGCAGCCAGCUCUCUUAAACUUCGCUCCUGGAAAAGUGGACAAUGAGAAAAUUAUAUUUUGUUCAAAAGUCAUCAAGAUACUUCCAACGUACUAAAAACCAUAAGCCUUCAAACUGCACAGGGGAAUUAGGCAGAAAAAGAAAAGAAAGUGAUCUCACCUGUCUUAUAAUUGGCAACCGCAAGUUAGAUCAUCUAACACAAAUAGAGUUAAAGAAACAAUAACACAGUAUAACCAAUUCUCAUUCAAAGAAGUCUUGGAAAAAAGGAUGUUUACCCUCAGGGCUUGUUUGGUUCAAGGGUGGAAUUGGAAUGGAUAAUGGAAUGAAAAUGAAUUGGAAUGGUAAUUGGAAUGGCCUACUCCCCCAAGACGUUUGGUUUAUUUGUGGAUUGGGAAUUGGAAUGAGUUAUUCACAUUUCAUUGUUUGGUUCGUAUAAACUAAAAAAAUUAUAGGAUACUAUAAUACUAAUUUUACUCUCAAAUAUAAAUUUAUAUUAUUUAAAAUUUAUGAAAAAUAUAAUACUAUUCUCUAAUAAGUUUUCCAAAAAAAAUAUCAAAUUUAUUUUUAAAAAUUUUUAUUGAUGUGGGUUAGGAAUAGUGUUUUGAGAGAGGAUAGGUUUUUUUUUUUUUUGAUGAGAAAGGGGUGAAGAGAAGGAGGGUGAGAUGGUCACAUGGGCUUCGAGAACUUAGUGAGCUUCCGGAAUGAAAUCUCAAUCCGGACUAGAAGAUCGGAAUCAAGUUGAAGGCUAAUGGGCCAUUCCCAUUCCAGUCCGGAAUAGGAAUCUCAAACCGAUUCAUGCGAACCAAACAAAAUUAACCGGAUUUGAUCAAACCGAUUCCCAUUCCAUACCCAAAAUGGAUGAACCAAACAAGCUCUCAAGGUAAACAGAACUGAAGUUUCUCUAUGUAAGUUCUCACAAGAGAUAUUGUAGUUCUACUCGUAGCUUACUAGCACGACCACUUCAUGUCAACAACUCAUGAAUGAUGAACCAUGCAUGUCAAUUAAUUGCGGGACAUGAUAAAUGACAAGACAAAUACAUAUAUAUCACACAGACAGUAACGUAAUAUGUAUGUGUAUGGAUAUAGACAAAUGCAUAUCUCAUAUGGUAAACAUAUAUAAAUGUACACAUUUAUCAACAGAAAAUAGGGAAGGGUUCUAUGAAAAUGAAAACCAAUAGAUUGGGAUUAAAGACCAAGUUGAUUUGUGUAAUUCAUGCAAGUAGAAGUUAGUGUAUUAGAGAUUGAAGCACUUCCAGACGACAGAAACUGAAUGACUUUCAGGAAGUUUACAACUUGUGCUGUGGUUCUGAAAGUUCUAUUUUGUAAGAAAUAUCAAUCAAAAUUCCAUAUUGUUAGUCAGGCAAACAAUAGUCUCGCUGAAAUCUUUCACAACAAUCAAAAACAAAAUUUAUGGCUCCAGAAUUUUGGUACUCUAAGAAUCGAUUGGAACUUAUCAAACAAGACCAAUUAAGUACAAUAGUAAAGGUAAUAUCCGGAUGCGUGCAUGUCUUUGCAUAAACAAGAUUGCCAACUGCCGAGGCAUAAGGAGUGCCUUUCACACAUAUACUUCGUGUAAAAGAAAAGUUAUCAAACAAUAAAUGAGACUUAAAGAACUAGUCAAAACAUACAAAUUGAUUCUUGUAUAACACCACUACAAAUAAAAUGAGUUACUUAUAGCGACGUUUCUACUAUCCAGGUAGAGAACAGACUUUAGGAAAGUGAUAUCCAAAAAUGUGAUAAUAAAGAAUAACAUGCUACUACUAUUGUAGAGAACAGUAAAUUACCCAGUGUGUUAUUUUGUUGCAUAGCAAUUCUUCCACAAAAGAAUAAAAAUACUCUUUGUACUGAGCAAUGCAGACAGCGACAUUAAGAUAAGAAUUUGGUCGUGAGGCAAGAGAAAAAUAAUCAGCUGUAUUCACAAUAUCAAUGCCAUGUGGGAAGGCUCCUUGUCUUCCAACAUUCUCUUGAAAAGCAGCAGAGGCUGCUCUUCUACAAUUCACCUAGUACAAUUACAGAAAAAGACUGUUUCAACAAAAGUUAAAAGACUGUUUCAACAAAAGUAUGUUGAGACUUAAAUAAUAGACGGGACUGACAGAUAUCUAAAUAGCAAUAUAGGUCAAAGAAGAAAAUAUAAUUACCUCUCGAUCAUAACAAGCAACUGUUAAAAGGUGUGGAGCAAGCUGCUCUAAAAUGCCUUUCAUAUCUGAGUUGGAGUAAGCACGACCAAAUGCCCAACACACAUAUGCAGCAGCAUCCCGAACAUGGGACCCAAUGCUGUGUGGACCUCUUCGUAUGUCAUAGUGCAAUGCCUAGAAAAAUUCUGCUUUUAGCAAGUUAUUAUUUCCACAUAAAUUGUUUGUUCACCAUAUUUCCACUUGGCUGAAAAACAAAUUUUGCUGCAAAUGGAGCAGUCAGUCAUUUCCACAGAGACAGAGUUAUAGAAAAUGUCACAUUUAAUUUUACGAUCAGGCCAUUUGAGUGUAAACCUAGCUGGCUUGGACGAAAUUAGUUUUCCCGUAACAAAACCUUCACAUAUAGGAAAAUAUAUAUAUAUAUAUGUACUUGGAACUUCAUACAUGCUACAACAAAUAGAACUAAACAUGAGAUUCUGCAGUAUAAAUAAAUGGCAAAGUAAAUAAUAUACAUAAGCACACAAAUUUUGAUUUAAACUAUUACUUAAGUGGCUAAGAACUGUGCGCAGGGAGGUAUCAUGACUAGCUAUUAACAAAGCAAGUGCUGAAGGGCCUACUCAAAGACCACCAGGAAAGGCCAUAUGGGCCAACUUGUCAUUGUGUUUGCUCAGCAUUUGUUGUUUGGCCAGCUAGGGGACGCUACUCAAGGACAAGAAAGUAGGGUUUCUAUUGAGGACACCAAGUUUCAUGUCAUUAUGAACGUAGACCCUGUUAAUUAACUCAUGUUAUUUACAUCCCAAGUUUUUCAUCACCUUCCCUCUCUUUCUAACCUUACCUAAUUGAACUAGGAAUGCCCUGGACAAACCAGCACUGACUUGUAACCAUCAUCUUAAUUAAGUUACCUAUCAUUAGCUUUUACCCAUUUGAGUCCCGUAUUAGCAGCAAAAAAAAAAACCUCCUCCAAAAAAUUUUUCAUCUAACAUGAUCUCUGCCAUCUUAGGAGUACUGCUAUAGUACCUGGUUCUCAAAUGGUAUUCUUAAGCCAAAUACAACAUUAGGGAGCAUGAGUUACAGCAAGGCGGUGCUCAUUCCCUCUCUGCUGAGAUGAAUAGCUACAUCCUACUACAAUUUUGCAAACUCAAAGUUCAAUAAUUACAUCAUCUUGUAACAACUAACGAAGUAUUUAAUCAUGGAUACAUCUGGACACCUCUCAGAAGUAGAAAAAGUUUGCUAACGAAAGUAGAGAAUCCUUUAGUGUAUUAUGAACUAUUCAGUUCAUAUCUUGGUCACUUAUCAAGCAAAAAUAUGGCGAUAAGCAUGCUUUUCACAUCAUACAAAUCUAUUUUCAUUUAAUCACUCAAAGGACAGUUUGAACUGCCAACUGAGAAUGUCUCCAACUCUCCAUGAUAUCAGAUCUAAUUAGUACCAACAAUCUCCAUGACAUCAGAUCCAAUUAGUACCAACAAUCACGAGAUAUGCUGCUUCUUUCUCUCGAAACAUUAAUUAUACGUGACUACCGAAAUAAAAUGAAAGCCAGAAACUAAAAGGAAACAAAAGUUUUAUCCAGAUAAGCAACAAUAUAACUAGGAGUUGUUAAACAACAAAUGUAGUUUACUAGCAUUUUCAUUUAUAUAUAGAAGAUGAUUCUAAGUGAAAUUUAACAUAUUUUCAAAUCAGGCUGCAUUUUGGACCAGAAUUCACUGCUUUUUUCAAGUUAUACUUGUGGGUUCAUAACAAUAUGGAAGAAAAUAUAUGUCUCUGCACAGAAAGUAACAACAGGACAUUACCUUUAUUAUAACAGGAACUACUUUGGGAAGACUACCAGGUAGCAGCAAUCCUCGGCGAGCCAACUCCGCCAAAGCCAAGCAGCCUCCAUGCCAAGAACCAUCUCCCUUCAGCAAUGCAAUGAAUUAGAAUUUUCCCUUUGAUAAAGAAAAUAAAGAGCCAUAGCCUUUAUUCGAAACUAGAUUUGUAAUCGUACAAUGCGCGGGCAUGUCAAUAGUGUGAUUCAAUUAUGUUAUAUAACAAGCAACCAAAAAACUAAGAAAUCAAUUAUUCUUUACCAACCAAUAUGAUUGAAAAAUAGAAAAAUAAAUAAAUAAAUAUCUUACAUAAUAUGUAGUCUAAGAAAGAUGCUUGCUGAGAAAAAAAAUCAAAGAGAAAAUUACAUAAUAGAGAGAGGAAAUAAAAGGAAAAAAACCUACUAAGAAGAUGUGGUUAGCGAAGAAAGAUCCAGAAAAAAUAAAAGGUUGAUUUAAAUUUUUGGUUUUGUAUAAAAUCUAAUAUAUUUGUUUCUUGUCAGUUAAUCUUAUUUAAAAUACAACUCUUAACUUAUUUUUUUUGUAUCUCUAUCACAUUUCGCUCAAAAUUCUCCAGUUAUAUAUAUAUAUAUAUAGAGAGAGAGAGAGAGAGAGGGAGAGAGAGAGAGAGAGAGAGAGAGAGAGAUGAUGGAAACUAUUGAAACAUUGUUCUCAAAACAUCAAUUACCCAAAGUUAAAGAAGCAUAUAGUACAGACCUCACCAGGUGAAAAUAGCUCCAGGAUAGAAGAUAACACUUCUUCUGAUAGAGCACAAGUUAAUCGUGCAGUUAUCCGACCUAUACCUUUUGCAGCAGACCAUCUCACAAUCGUGUCCUGAACGGUGAAAUAGUUAGAAAAUGCUUACGAAAAACUUACUGGGGAUUCUGAGAGAGGAGAGAGGAGAUAGGAGAGAGACGAAUAGUUGAUGCAAAAAAAUCUUCUAAAGAAAAGUAGCCCUAUGCCUUGUGACAAUUUUACAGAAGUCCCUAUGGUGGUUUCUCGGUGAUAUGACUGGGGACGGUGUAAUUAUCCUCACUAUCCCAUCAAAACCAUGGGCAUGGAAUAAGUGGAAAUCCCACCAAGAAUUGCAAAACCCUGGCCUCUGGAUAGCAGUAAAACGGAUAGGGUGGAAGUGUGUAAGGAGUGAAAUCAUCCUAACUCGAUAAAAACUAAAGCUUAAAGUUAUAUAUUCUCUUAAAUUAACUGGAAAACAGUCUAUAAGGACUUCAAUGACAGAAAAUUUUGACAUUCUUAUAUGAAAAUAUAAAAAGUUAGGGACCUUUUAUGACUAUUUAAAAAGUUAGAGAUGGAGGCACAAAUUUGUAAAUCAUUGUUGAUCACUCUUAUCAGAAGACAAAUGCAAUUAAAAAAAAAAAAAGCAAUAGAACAAUCUAAAAUUUAAACGACUGAAUAUCUUAUCAUAGUGAGCUUAAAAUGUACCGAAAGCUCGUAAGCCCAAUAUUUCACCAUUGACUGGUGGAAAGAUUGUCGUGCCACUAGCAUGGGGCAUGCCAGUGUGCCAACAGCAUGGCAUGCCGGCACACCAACAUGCCUUGGCACACACACCCCAUUUUAUAUGUAAGCACAUGUGCCCCACGAGCUUAGCGGCACAGGUGGCAUGGGCAGCACAUGCUAGACCGUGCCGAUUAGCAUGACAGUCUUGUUAUUGGUGCAACCUAGAACAAAAGGUCAAUACAAGAAUGUUUUACAGGUUCUUAAAGACAUUUUUAUUUCAUCAUGAUGAAAAUACAAGUUAAGAAUUGUAUAUAAAGGAGGAAAAAAAAAAGAAGCAAACCAAGCAUGAUUGCUUCUUGUAGAUCAGAAGAGAGAGAUACAAGAGCAGUUCACAAUCCAGACAUACCGAAUCUCUUAAACCAGACAAUAAUAACUCUAUUAUCUCCUCCACAGUUUCUGGAACAUCCAUAUCCUCUUCAUCUGGAAUACUUGUAUUUUCUGUGUCAUUUAAUUGGUAGGCAUCUUGACCAUAAUCACCUGAAGAAUCUCUUCCAUAAAUAUGCAGAGAAAGAUUUUCAUGUAAUGAGCUAUUCUUUCCCUACACAAAAAAGACAAAUCAAUCCAUCAAAAAGAGAUGCAGAAAAACAAUCACAGCUGGUGUCCUCACUAUGAAAACAAAACAUAGUUUUGGGUCCUCUGAUGCUGGACCAAAAAAGAGCAAUCAUGAUACAACUCUAGAGGAUUUUUACAUAUAUACUAUUUGUCAAUAAGACCCUACAUGAAACCAUCUGUAGCAAAAUAUAUGAUGAUAAGUGCUUAGCUUUGAGGAACUCAUUCAUAGCGUUGAACAAUUAAACAAUCCUAAAACUUACUGUAAUACCAAUACAGAGAUGAGCAUUUUAGUAAAGACAGCGGUGCCAAGGAGUGAAUAUAAGGGCAACCUAACACCUAGUAGACAAGAUCUGUCUUCCUACUUCAUCAGUCCAAAGUUAUAGAAAAUCAGAAAGAUAGGUGAAUGAUAUUAUACUGAUGGAUCAAGCAAACCCAUGCUUUGUAGUCUCACAUUGGUAAGGACAAGCCGACAAGGUUUAUGAUUCACAAGCCAUACUGUGGUCCAACAAAGUAACAGAAAAAGAAUGUGCAGAUCAAGUAUGUACUUUAUAUUAGAAUUUCUCAUAACAUAGAAAAUAGGAUUAAAUGACAAUUUAAUUGGGCACGUUUUCGACAGCCAGUUUAAGAAAUAGGUCUCUAAAUUAGUCUCUCAAGUAAACAAUUUAACAGAUGACUAAACAACCUAUAAAAUUCUAUACAGUAAACUAAAGAAAACCUAGAGAUAAGAAGGGGAAAAAAAUAAAAAAAGGUCGAUUGUCGACUUUCAGUCAGGAAGACUGGUCACAUAGCAAGAAAAUUAAAACAUAAGAACAACUAUAUGCAGUAUUAAUGUUUUUGCAGUAUAUAAACUGAGAAACUGUCAAACCAGAUAUUGCCAUGUCAGGGAACGAUGAGGCAAACAAGUUAACCCAACGCGCUGCGAUAAUUUGACCACAAACUUUCUAAGUAAGGAACUCCGAGCAGCAGCAGUAGACUUCAUCAAAAAUGAACAAUCACUCCAAAUAGUGGAAAUCACAUCGCUAAGAACUUUAGCACUGCCAAUCUGCAGUUUCCAGACCAAUAAACAAGCACACAGUUACAGAGAAUGGAAGGUAAAGCUUCUCAACAGAAAUAUAGAAGGACCAAAAAAGGGAAGUGACUUGAACUAUUUUUUUAAAGGACGACAUUCCCAGGGGACAGAUUCAUUAAAAAAAAAAAAAGCCAAAUCAUGAAGGAAAGGAACCUCAAUUAACUGAGUCAAAUUAAAAAUCUGAAACACUCAUGGCUUCACAAAUUAGUGACUGAAAAAUCAAAUUAAAGCAAACCAAUCAACUUCAAAAGCAAUGUGCUGCCACUAUGGAGAACGUAUAAACGUAUAGAAGAGCAUCCAUUCUUUAAAUUAUAGCAACAAAGCAUUAGGCAGAACAGGCUAGACGUGAUUUCAUUGUUAAGCAAUUUCAAAAGAAAAGAAGAAGCAAAGGAAGAAGAUCAAGAGCAAAGAAAGACAAGAAGAAGAGGAGGAAGAAACUAGUCACAACGAAGAAAAAGAAGAAUCUAGUCACCAAGAAGGAGAAAAAGAAUAUCAACACGAAAGGGAUGAAGAAGAAAAUUAUGAGCAACAUAACUAGUACAAGAGAAAAAGAUAAAAAGAAGAUGAAGAAGACCAAGGUUUAUCUAGCUUGCGUAAGAAUAGCAAGUCUAGAUUAUUUUAACUUAUGCGCAAAAGAGGUUGCACAUUGUAGCACUAGUAUUAAAAAGAAACACCAGACAAGAUUUGAACUAAUGUAGCCCAUAGGAUAACCUACUCGUAUUUACCAAGAAAACUUAGUGCCAUAAUGAAGUUCUUUCCCAACUAGUAACAAAAUUAGCAUGGGCUGAUUUUAUAUGGUUGUCAAUCAACAGUACCAUUAGCGGACUAGUUGGAACGCUGGCACAAUUAUUGAAGACAAAAGAUGAGAAGACAGAUAUGCCAACUUGUAUGCUUAUAUUAGUGCAUGCAGAUGUUACAAAUUUCUCAAAAAAAUUAUGUGCUCAAUGUAGGCUACGUGCUACAAUAUAGCCAUCUAAAACAAAAGGCGAAUCUGAAGGACUCACCCUGAAUUUUAACCUAGUAAGGAAAGCAAGCAGUGACAUACCUUGAAUAUUGAAGCUAAAGCUUCCACUAUACCGAGUAAUCUGAAGUGGUCGGCAACAUCAUCUGUGACAGAUAAGAGGACUUCAUGUGCCCAUUCAAUAAAGCUGAAACAAAACAAGACACAUAACAAUAAUGGCUAGACAGAAAAUUUGCAAAUAUUAUUAUCAGCAUGAUUCAGAUUUUUAUGAAGAGAGGCACAAAAUCUCCAAGAAAGAAAUAAACAACAGUUCACUUUAUGAGCAGCCAAACAAUUUAAAGUGUGCAAAAUAGCACUAAUAAAAACUAAUUAAUUGUUAAGCACAGAAACACCAUAUAUACAUUAUAACUAUUUGAAGUCGAGUUCAUAUGUGAGUAUGAUUUUCUCAUUUCAUGAAUACCCCAAAGCAAUAUGUUCAAAAAGAUCGAAAUAAGAAUGCUGCUCUAUAUGCCAGAAAGCAUCCAGUUCUCUAAUAUUUUGAUAUACUAAAAAGGACUUAAAUAGAAUCAGAAAAAAUAAAAGUAUAAAACAAACAAUAUUCAUUUUCUACUAAGGCCUUGUUUAGAUGCAUAAAUAUCGUAUUCGGUAUAUCUGCAUAAUUUACUUGAGAAGCUUGUACAUAUUGGUAGAUGAGGAGUGUGAUCAAAUGUCUAAAUUUGGAUAUUAUACUCUGCCUUCAAGUCAUUUUUUUGGGAUAAGAUAAAUCACUUUGUAGGUGAAAUAUGCUAUCCUACCAAAUCAUGAAUAUUAAGACCUUCCAAGAAGCAAAAAUCGUAGGGGGAAGAUAUUAGAUAUCUGAUGGGAACGAUCCAAAAUUUGAACUUGUAGCAUUGCAAUUUAAAUCUACUUAGCAUGUUUUUAACAGAUAUCAAAAAGCCAUGUAAGAAAAACCUGGUAAAAGCUUUUGACAUGUCCGGGCGUGUUAAAAGCCUUGCUAGCAACAACCCAGAUAUCCUCCGCAUUGGACCAGCACUUGCUAGAUAAUCUUUAGAUAUCUCCAGCAUCUUCAUGACCAAAGGCACUGGCUCAGAUCCAUCAGCAUGAUCAUUAUAAGCCAUACUACUGUCCACAGAGGAGAUAUCGAAAGGGAUUAAGACUAGUAUAUAAAGCCACAAGAGCACAACACACUUUGUCUCCAUCUCGCCCGUACUUUCCUGCCUUAGCGAAGUGGAUGAAGCAGUUUGGUGGCACUUCUCAAGAAGGGCAACUGCGAGCUCAAGAUCCGAGACCUGAUGCGGGAAGAACUUGAUUACGCUCUUGUAUCCACACACUGUGACGAGCGUAUAAAUAAUAAUGCACAAAGGUUUGAUGAUAUUGAGAAGCGCAUCGGAGGCUGCCCCGAGCUCCAUUGUCCUGGACCGAACUAAUGACAUGAGAGGCGAGAUGAUACUCUCCAGGUAGGGUUCAAGAAGCUGGCCCUCUUGUUGAUACUUGUCCAUCUAAUUAAAAAAACAGAAUGAACGAUUUCGCAAAAAAUGUGAGAUCGAUAAUCUUGAUCAACCUAAAGCUAGUACAAAACCUUUAUCCAAAGAAGAGAAAUCAGGAAAAUGCAAUGUCUUUAUGAGAGAUUACAGGUACAUCUGAAAAUUUAAAAAGUUUACUUGUUUAUCUAGCUAACAAAAAAGAAAGAAUAAUGCUUCUUUCAAGUGCAAGAACUGUAAUCUUGAGCCAACAUGUUGCGAAAUGCAUCAGUGAAGAAAAGAUUAACAAUUUAGUAUUUACUGCACUUGAGAUUAUAGAUAUCAAAGAGCAUAGGAGAUAUAUCUCAGAUGCAAGAACAGUAACCUUGAUUCAACAUUGUAGGAACCCCAUCAUAAUCUUUAGUUGAGAUUUUAGAUAUAAGCGGGAGAGAGAUUUGGGGAUGAGAGAGGGAGGUAGGGGAUGCUUACGAUGGAGCGGAUCUUGUUGAUGUCGGAGGGUUCGGCGACGCCGCCAUUGGCGACGAUGUGGUCGAGGAGGGAUUUUACGAGCUCCCACUCUUGGAGGAAGUAGCGAAGGAGGAUGCUCUCCUUGGGCUCGUGCUCUUCGUCUACUUGUGGAUCCGAGGGGAUCUCAUCGCUGGAAGCGGGGUUGGUGGAGAGGGGGGCCGCCAUUGGCGAAGCUCGGAAGGAGACUUUGGGGAGGGGGGACUCCAAUGGCGAAGCUCGUCGUCGGCGAAGGAGGACGAUGACGACGACGAUGGAGAGGAGUGUGAGAAAGCGAAAGGGUUUAAUGGGUUGCGCCCGGAAGUUUCGAGCUUCGAUCUUUUAAAUAUUGGCCCGGGUCUGUUUCUUGGCCCGCGGUCAAUUUUAUAGUCACUGGAAAGAAAUAUUAACGCUUGCUACAAGGGAUAUCAAUGGGCAUGGAUACUUAAAAUUUUAUCUGAAUUCAAACUCGAAUAAAAUGAAUAUAUCCGAUAGAUAUGAAUAUAAAAAAUAAAAAUCCAACAGAUAUGAAUUCGGAUAUAAUUUUGAUUGUACCCGAUCCGAACCUGAACCCAACCCGAACCCGAAUUUAUUAUGUAUUAUAUAUAAUAUAUAUAUAAAAAUUUGAUGUUAUAUUUGAAUUUAUAUUUUAAAAAUUUAGAUUUAAUAUAAUAUAUUUUGAAAUAUUGAAAAAAAAUAUAAUUGUUUCGGGUUCAAAUUUUCGGGUUCGGGUUCGGAUUUGGGUUUCGAAUUUUUAGUCGGGUUCGGGUUUGGAUAUGGAUUUUUAAAAUCCGUCAAGUUCGAGUUCGGAUUCGGGUUCGGGUUCGGAUCUUAGGUUUGGAGUCGGGUUCGGAUUCGGAUUUUUAAAAAUCCGCCCCGAAUCCGACCCGUUGAUGAAAUUUCACUAAUUUCCACGAAAUAUUACCGUUGCGAAGUUUCGAAAAUUCGGAUUUAUUAGGUUUAAAUUUUUGGAUUUUCGGAAUUUGAAAACGCAUAUAUAGACUUGUUUGGGCAUUGUAAUCCCAAACUAGGAUUUAGGCUCACAGUGCUAAGCUACAUUGGGCCGGGCCAGGAAAUAAAUUAUCUCUACACAGCAUAUGCCAAUAGCAUCAGGCCCAAUCCAAUCCGGUUCCACAGAUCGGAUUCCCUUCCAAGUUCCAACUCUGGGAAACCACGCCCACCACUCCGUCUCCCACCUUCUUUUGCAUAACACCUCCCGAACAUUCCAGAACCCCUGAGAGCCAGCGCGUUCCUUUCUCCCAGAAUACUCCUCCAACGACUUUAAAACCCCACCUCUCUUGUCUCGUCUCUGUCCCUUUCCGAUUUCGAUCUCUCCCUCCCCAUUUCCCUCUCUGCACGAUCUAGGGUUUUCUCCUUCGUCCAUGGCCGAGGAGGCGAAAGCCAAGGGCAACGCGGCGUUCUCCGCGGGGCGCUUCGACGACGCCGUGCGCCACUUCUCCGAGGCCAUCGCCCUCGCCCCCACCAACCACGUCCUCUAUUCUAACCGCUCCGCCGCGUACGCCUCCCUCCACCGCUACGCCGAGGCCCUCGCCGACGCCGAGAAGACCGUGGAGCUCAAGCCCGACUGGGCGAAGGGCUAUUCCCGCCUCGGCGCCGCCCACCUCGGCCUCGGCGACGCCGACGCCGCCGUCGCCGCCUACGAGAAGGGCCUCGCCCUCGACCCCAACAACGACGCCCUCAAAUCCGGCCUCGCCGACGCCCGCGCCGCCGCCGCGCGCGCAGCGCGAGCUCCGCCGUCCCCCUCCGGAGCCUCGCCCUUCGGCAAGAUCUUCCAGGGCCCCGAGCUCUGGACGAAACUCACCGCCGAUCCCACCACGCGGGGCUACCUCCAGCAACCGGACUUCGUCCAGAUGCUCAAAGACAUCCAGAAAAACCCUCAGAACAUCAAUCUGUACCUCUCGGAUCAGCGGAUGAUGCAGGCGCUCGGAGUCCUCCUUAACGUGAAGAUGAGGGCGCCGACGGACGAAAUGGAGAGGGAGAGGGAUUUCCCUCAGCCGGAGCCAACGGCGAAGGCCCCGGAGGCUGAACCAGCAAAGGAACCGGAGCAGGCGCCAGAGCCAAUGGAGGUAACGGGAGAGGAGAAGGAAGCGAGGGAGAGGAAGGCGGAGGCGCAGAAAGAGAAGGAGGCCGGAAAUGCCGCGUACAAGAAGAAGGAUUUUGAGUCGGCGAUUCAGCAUUACACGAAGGCAAUGGAGCUGGAUGACGGGGAUAUUUCCUAUCUCACUAAUAGGGCUGCGGUCUACUUGGAGAUGGGAAAGGUGAUGCAUUUUGACUGUUUAUUACUUGUCUUAAUUGCUUACUUUUUAGUAGCACUAACUGAGUUCACUGGUUAUACUAUUUUCUGCUUACUAUUUUGGUAGUACUUCUGCUGAUUAUGGUGAAUACUGUUUGUGGUUAUUUGCUAAUGUUAUUGUUGCUUGUUGAAGUUGGCGAUUAUGUACUUUAGAUGCUGCUUAUCACCUGUUUUGAAUGUGGAAACUUGGAACAACUUUUGCAGCUAACUAACUUGAAAAAGUGGAAAGGAAAUACUUGCAACAUUAAUGCUUUACACUAUGUAGAACAACAUAUAUAGCCUUUCAAUAGUUAUGAGCUUGCUGACAUUUAUGCUUAGUGAAUUAAUAGAUGCAGAUCUCUGAUUAAGCAAUUUGAAAUGCAUUCCUCAAUACCUUUUCUUUUCAUUACGUCAUCAAAAAUCAUUACUAUUCUUCUUGUUCUUUCCCCUCUCUGUUGAUUGAGAAUAACUGAAAUUAUGUUUACAAGUUGUUCUUGUCCGUCAUUGCUUCACCUUUGGUCUCUGAUAAGUUUCAUCGUUUGUUCCCAAGUCUAAAAUGUAAGUUUGUUAUUUAGAAUUUAAUUUUGCUCAUUAUGAAGGGUUCAUUAGCCAUAUUACAUAGACCUGCUAUAAUGAUAUUAUUCUUUAAAUAAUAUGUAAUAAUUUUUCAAUUUAGUUUUAAUGUAGUCUAGUUACAUAUAUAAUAUUGUAACUUUAUUGUCAUAUGAUAACAGAAUGUAAUUUCACUUUUCUAGAUAACAUUUAUAUUGUAUGUCAGUAGAUCAUAUAUUGUAUUCCAUAGUUAGAUUAUGAUGCUAAAAUGGUAUAUCUAAUACGAACAUUAUAUAAAAUUAUGCAAGUCGGAUGGAUUAAUAGGUCUUGAGGAAAGUGGAAGUCCUGAGGGUUAGCUGUGCAAUAGUAGUUUUUUUACCUACCAAACUCUUAGUAGACUUCAGAGCAACCUACACCUAGACCAACAUUGAUAAAGUGGUGUAAUAGAGGAAUCUGACUUCUGUUUUUUCAGUAUAAUUUCUUUAACGAAGGGCGUUUUUCUAUUCCUUGACCUUUGCUACAUAUAAUUGUUUCCCUGCUAUUGGUGCAUUACUCAAAAGUUACUUUGCAUAGUUUCUAGUCUAAUUACUCAGUGGCAAGGAUUUAAGUGCCAUGCCACGGGGUCGUGCCGGAAACUUGGCGGCACGGUAUCGCAUGAUGCGUGCCGGGCAGGGCCGAUGCGUGCCGGUCAAAAAAAUAUGUGUGCCGAUACGUAAUGGCAUGAAAUAUUUAUUUUCUUUAAUAACAAAAUAUGUCGAUUAUUUAUUAUGUAUUUUUAUCCAAUAUUUUCAAUUUUGUUAAGAAAAUUACUCACUAAUUUCAAGAAUAGAGACUUUUGAGUUUUGUCAUUGGCAGGGGGCUGUAUCAUGCCGAUAUCUUGCUAGCACAAUACGGCACGGUGGGUACCGCUCGUGCCGAUGGGCACUUUAAUCCUUGCUCAGUAAUUUGCUCUCUUUGUUUUGAAGUAGUAAUGAAUGGCCUAUAUGCUGAACUUGAGAUAAGUUUAUGUUUUCUACUGUUAUGUAUUGAGCUUUUUUUCCUCUGUUUCAUAACUGUCAUUCAUGCUAUCUGUUAUCAGCAUGAAGAAUGUAUAAAGGACUGUGAUAAAGCUGUUGAGAGGGGCAGAGAGCUUCACUCUGAUUUCAAAAUGAUAGCAAGGGCUUUAACCAGGAAAGGAACUGCCUUAGUGAAGCUUGCAAAAUGCUCAAAGGACUAUGAUCUUGCCAUUGAAACUUUUCAAAAAGCCUUAACUGAACACCGCAAUCCGGACACUCUCAAAAGGCUAAAUGAUGCUGAGAGAGCAAAGAAAGAACUUGAGCAACAAGAGUACUUUGAUCCAAAGAUAGCUGAUGAGGAGCGAGAGAAAGGUAUGCUUAUCAAUCUCUGGUUCUCAUAUAUGUUUUUUUUUUUAGUUUGCCCUCAUUUCCGUUUCGUGCUAUUUUUGUUACUUAACUUGAAAAAUGCUACCUUUUUGGUAGUGUAGUUAUGGUAUCUUGUUUUGAAACUGAAUGAUCUUGAUUGGUUAUCUGAUUUUAUCUAGUUUUUUGUUUUGACCGUAGGUCUUAAUUCAUGAUCGCCAUUUUUUUUUUUUAAAUUUUGAUGCUGUUGUUUCUUGCAAUUUUUUUUGCCUUCCAAUUACUGAGAGGAGCUGAACAGCUUUCGUGGUUUUGCACUUGGAUAUUGUGGUAUUAGCUUGCUGUUGUCCUUGUUCUUCCUUUAUAGAGUACAGUAGCUAAAUGUAUCAGAGAUGUUGACCAAAUGACAUAUUGUCGCCUAUCUUUUUAUGCCCUACUGCCCUUUAACUUAAUCUCCACACUGUUUUAGUACUUUGUGGAUUGUGAAUUUGAUUUUUUAUAUGCUAUGUACUAAGUUAAUUUUUCUGAUGCUCAUUAGUAGUUUUGACAGUUCCCUUCCUUGAUGACUUUUUCUUCCACUCCCUUUGGAUUUCUUUCCUGCGCCAUGGCCUUUAGGCGUUUGUUUCACCUGAUGCUAAUUUUAGUAUGGUAGUAACCAGCAACACUGAGUUAUAAUCCCUGUUAAUUUUGUACUAAGAAUUCUCACUGGCAAGGAUUUAAGUGCCGUGGCACGGAGUCCUGCCGGAAACUUGCCGGCAUGGUACGGCACGGUGCGUGCCGAGCCGUGCCGAUCAAAAAAAUUCUUGUGUGCCGACACAUAAUAGCACGAAAUAUUUAUUUUCUUUAGCAACAAAAUAUUCUAACUAUUUAUUAUGUCUUUUUAUCACAUCUUUUGAACUUUAUUGAGAAAAUUACUUACUAAUUUAAAGAAUAGAGGGUUUUGAGCUGUGCCAUCGGCACGGAGUCUGUAUCGUGCCGAUAUAUUGUUGGCAUGGUACGGCACGGUGGAUACGGCCCGUGCCGACAUGCACUUAAAACCUUGCUCACUGGCAAGGACAACCUAACCGGUUCCCACUUUUGAUUGAUAAGUGAUAUAUGUAAUGCUUGUACCCCUUUACAUAUACAACUAAAAAAUCAUCAUAUAUCUGUUAGUAGGCUCGACCUGUUAGGUAGCUGUAGUUAUAUAUGAAGUCUGCUAGUUUUAGCAAAGAGUCUAUGCUUAGCCGUUUCUCUCAAUUCAUUUAAAGACAAUGGUGUCAAAUUGGUAUUCCUGAAAAUGCAGGUGGCAGCAUCUGCUAUAUUCUUAGCAGAACUCUUUUAGCUCGGACGGUGUUGCCGACCAUGAUAAAUGGAAGCUUCUAAUUCUGACCUGCACCAGACAAUAUUUUAACGCUGGGCAGGGCAAGUCAUUGUCUUUCUCAAUUGUUUCUUCAAGUUGUUUCCAUUGGUAUAAUAUCAUGUAAUGAUACACUCUUUGGCCUUUAUCCUGUAUGACCCAUGCGGCUUAUCAUGAACUAAACUGUUUCGUAUCUCAAUAUCCAUUUAUCCAUGUACAUUAUGGGGCAUGCAUUAGCUAGCUUUUAUGGGUGUACCUUUGUGCCAGAAACAGUCUGUCUUUCGUAAUCAUUGUUAGUCUUAUUUGAGCUUUUUUUGCCAACAAUUGCAGCUAAUCUGUUCAAUUUUGUCCUUACUUUCAGGCAAUGAGUUUUUCAAGCAGCAAAAAUACCCUGAAGCUAUAAAACAUUACACUGAAGCUCUGAAGAGGAACCCGAAGGAUCCAAGGGUAAUAUGUCUUUUCUGUUUUAAUUGCUUUUGUUGUAUUAUGUGUUACUGUAAAUAAGCAAGAAUUCAUGCCCUCCGCAUGAAGUUGACCUUUACUUCUGAAUAAUCAAGUGAUUGGUGGUAUAUGAAUAAUGCUUUAAACAAAAAUCCACAUUUUGUAAAUCUGCAUCAAGUAACCAUACUCUUAGUCAUUUUUAAGAACAUGCAAAAAUACUAUUGUUGAUUAGUUUGGACUUGUCAAAUUCUGGGCAUCUUCAAAUUGGAUACGAGCAUGCCAUCUGCAAUGUGCUUGACUAGUUAUGGCGUUUUCAAUGAAAAUACUGUUCCUAAGUUAUGGUGACUAAUUUUUGUUCUCAAUGACACUUAAAUGAGAAUCUAUUGUUCAGUAUAUUUUAUCCAUGUGAUGUUGUUCUAUGCUAUUUACAUAAUUUGUCACCGGUAUCCUAAUAUUUGAGUUGUUUGAUAUUUUCACAGGUAUAUAGCAACAGAGCUGCAUGCUACACAAAGUUGGGAGCUUUACCGGAAGGUCUGAAGGAUGCUGAGAAGUGCAUUGAACUUGACCCUACCUUUUCGAAAGGUUACACUAGGAAAGGCGCUAUACAGUUCUUCAUGAAAGAAUAUGACAAAGCGUUAGAGACUUAUCAGGAGGGCUUAAAGCACGACCCUAACAAUCAGGAACUGUUGGAUGGUGUGAGGAGGUAAUGAAUCCCUAAAAUCUUCAGAGUUUGCCCUUUUUCUUCCUUUUAUUAAGAACUUAAUUUGUAAAUGUCUUCUAUGUGUGCAAAUUUCAGAUGUGUUGAACAGAUUAACAAGGCUAACAGGGGUGAGAUUAGUCCAGAAGAAUUGAAAGAGAGACAGGUUGAGUCUUUUUACGCCAAUAUUUUUUGUUAUUUUUCGCUAGUAUUCUUAUUCUAAAGGUAAUUUUCAUAAGCAAUUUUUUCAUGUUUAACUCGAGUUCGCUUGCAGGAGAAGGCCAUGCAUGACCCAGAGAUACAGAAUAUCUUGUCUGAUCCCAUAAUGCGUCAGGUAACUAACAAUUAGAAUGAUAUUUCUUGUAGCGCUUUAAGUAGUUGAAGAUGGAUGAAGUUUAUGUGCUGAUGAUAUGCAUGCUAUAUUGGGUAGGUAUUGAUCGAUUUCCAGGAGAAUCCGAGGGCCGCACAAGACCACCUGAAGAAUCCUCAGGUGAUGCAUAAAAUCCAGAAGCUUAUUAGCGCUGGAAUAGUCCAGAUGAGAUAAAAAAGGAGAUUUAUGAUUUACCAACUGUGUUUGUCAUGUGUGCCCCCAUGUGCUAAGAUUGUUUUGUCCAAACUUUUUAGAGUACUCCCUUUUGAAACUUGUGGAACUUUAUAAUCUUCGUUUCUUAAUUAUUGAAUCCUUGCAAGUACAGUGAGACAAAUAAGUUUUUCAUUUAUGGAGUGUGAGAAGUGUUUCAUUAGUAAGCUCUGAAAUUUGCCUAUCUGUUGAUAAUGAUGUUCUUCGGAGGGUUGUUUAAACGAAUGAUGUAGAAAUGAGGUUAACAUCCUUCUGAGAUUGUCCUUCCAGAAAAGAAAAAAGAAAAAGUCUUCCUUCUGAGAUUUUAAUUUACUUUGGUAUGUUAAUUCUUUUCAUGGUCAGUUUGGUAGGAAUGAUGAUUACAAAUAUAAGAUUCAGUCGAACUUUUUAAUUGCAGAAAAAGAAAGUAGCUAGGUAAGGAAUAGAGCAAAGAGAACAAUAAAAUAACUCAAAAUUCUAAAACGAAAAAAAGUAGAUUGCUAGAAGGUAAAAACAUAUGUAACUUACUUGAACUAUGGGUUGUUUUGGUUUGUAUCCAAUCUUUUAAAUGUUCGAUUUUAUUGUCCAAUUUUUUAAUUUACUUAAUUUGAAUCAGUCAACGAUAUUUUAAUUUUAAAAUUAAAUGUAUUGUUUAGCUUAAGUUAGUAUAUUUUAUAUAAAGGGAAGAGAGGCAGGGAGAAGAGAGAGCGAGAGGCAUCAGGGGAGAGAGGCAGGGAGAGGAUAAAUGUCUCGAAAGAGGCGUAUAGCGAGGAGAGAGAGAGCGCGCGAGAGAGAUAGAAGACAGGUCAGGGAAGAGAGGCAGAGAGAGAGAGAGAGAGAAUAGGGCAGGCAUCGGGAGAGAGACGCAGGGAGAGGAGAGGAGAGGCGUAUAAUAAAGAGAGAGAGCCAUAUUUUAUAUUUUUUUUGUAAUUAUAAAUUUAUUAAAAUAAGUAAAUAUCUUAAAUUUUGUAUAAUUUAAAGUAAACAAAUUAAAAGAUUUGAUAGUAAAAUUAAAAUUUUGAAAUAUUGAAUAGAUGGUUCAAUAUGGUUCAUAGUUUAAAUACGCUUUAUAUAUUUUAAUAGAACGUUCAUGACGGUAAACCCAAGUUGCUAGGGUCAGUUUGUUAAAUUAUAUGAAAAAUCGUUGUUUUUUAAGAAUUUAAGCUAGUAAAGAACAAUAUUAUAAUUUUAUAUUUAAACACUCAGUCUCAUGUAUGGGCUCGAGAUUUGUUAAUAGGCUUAUAACGUGAAUUUAAAUUAAAUUUGUGAAAAUUAAUAAUUUUAUAUUUAACUCUCUCCUAUACUUAUGGGCUUUUUUAUAAGCCAAUAACGUGGACUUAAAUUAAAUAGGCAAAAAUUAAUAUUUUUAUAUUUAACACUCUCAAAACGUGAGAAACAAAAAUUAAUAACACUAAGGGGCUGUUUGGUUGCACGCAUUUGCAACUGCAGUGCAAUUGCAAAUGCAUGCAACCUCAAUUUCUAUGUUUGGUUUAGUGCAAUUGGGUCCAACUGCUGCAGUUGGAACUACAUCCAACUUGGUUGCAGUUUCAACUACAGUAGUUAGUGAGGAUUAGGAUCACCCACAAAUUAACAAUAAUAAAUAAAUAAAUAAAUAAAUAAUAUAUACAUAUANAAAUUGUUGAUUUUUAAGAAUUUAAGAUAGUAGAGAAUAAUAUUAUAUUUUUAUAUUUAAACACUCAGUCUCAUGAAUGGGCUCGAGAUUUUUUAAUAUGCUUAUAACGUGAUUUAAAUUAAAUUGGUGAAAAUAAAUAAUUUUAUAUUUAACUCUCUCCCAUACUUAUGGGCUUUUUUAUAAGCCAAUAGCGUAGACUUAAAUUAAAUAGAUAAGAAUUAAUAUUUUUAUAUUUAACACCCUCAAAACGUUUGAGAAACAAAAAUUAAUAACACUAAAAACACAACGUGACUCAAAUUCGGAACAAAAUUUUAAUUUUAAUUCUUAACGCGCUCCCUCACAAUAAUGCUAUGCAAUGUAAAAUGAGUCGGGUUGCACGUGGGCCACCCAGCCCGGCACGACAUCAGGCCGGGCUACAGCACGGCAGGACUUCUCGUGCCGGGCCGACCCGAGCUUCCGAGCUUUCCCUGGGGCCUGACGGCCCGGCACUUCACCACUCGAAAGGAAAAUGGGCUGUGCUGGGCCGAGAAGAGGCGGACGGCGCAGCACAGAACGGGCUGCUUAGGCUGUGCCNAAAAUUUUAAAUGUGUCGAUUAAUAAGUUGAAGAAUUGUUGAAAAAUAUAAAAAUAUUAUAUAUCUCUAUUUAUUUAUUGAUAAAUAGUAAGUUUGAAUGAUUAAUAAAAUUAUACAAUUAUUUUAUGCAUAGUGAAGGUAAUCUCACCACUCUAUCUGAAGAGUUGACAAAAUUCACAAAUACAACUAUCAGCUUCGUAUUACCAAAUAGAAAAAAUGUAAUUGCAGCAGUUGCAACUGUAGAAAACCAAACAGACUAGGUGUAGUUACAACUACAGCAUUUGCAACUGCAUGUAUUUCCAACUACACUGUUUCUGCAACUACAUCCAACCAAACGGCUCCUAAAAGCAUGACGUGACUCAAAUUCAGAACAAAAAUUUUAAUUUUAAUUCUUAACGCGCUCACUCACAAUAAU
rnacentral:lncRNA from 1 species